CUCAGGAUCUGAGGCAGUACUGUCAGACAUCUGCCAAAGAGUGGGGAAGAGAAGGGCCCCCCUCCAUCCGCUACCUAUUAGUGAAGAUCCGUUCGGCAGAGUAGCUGUUGACAUUAUAGUUGCGAAGGCACUUUGUUGACUCUAGAGAACCUCGGGCCUAUCGCACGUCCCAGUGACAGUGACUUUGCAUUUGGAUGUCAUCCAUAUCAACUUUCGAUGUCAGUUUCUGCGCCUACCAUGGUGACCACAGGUAACGGGGAAUCAGGGUUGGAUUAUGGAG